CCAAAUCACAACCCCCAAAAUCCAUGAUUUAUUAUUCUCUGCAGAUCCCUGAGGAAGAAAUGAAUGGUACACGAGUGUUUUUUUAUUGCUUGGAGUUCAAUUCUCACCGAAAUCAAUACCCUUUGUAAUAGUACGCCUGACUUUGACCUAACUUACCCUAUCAUCAAGUGGGAAACUUCUAUGUACUUGGACAUAACGACUUGGGUUUAGACAUAUUGGAUGCUCAAAGGUUAAGCUUCUAUAGCACAACUCCUGGUCACCCAAAAAAAAUAAUUUUUAUUACACAAUUGUAAUGCUUUUCUUUUGUGAAAGUUUUAUAAUUAUUACAUCAUAUUGCAA